AAGAACUAAAAAAAUCGACGACAACUUAGAACUUUACACGAUUGUAACAAAGUUUGGUACGUGACCAAUAUAGAGAGAUUAGCGUGACUAUAUUAGCAAUCUAUCAUCGAUUAUAGCAUGCUACCUCUGGCAGUUUUUAUAUUUGCAUUCAUUUUAAAAGGCGAACUGGCGCAAGUACCUACAAGGCCAAUUAAAACAUGGAGGUCAAAGCCGAUUGUCGAUGAAUUACGACUGAAAAAAAACGCCCUCAUUAAUGUUUUAAUGAAUAAUUUAAAACAUCGUCAAUCAUUAAAUAACGAGUUUAUCCGACCCACAGAAGAGUUCGGACAACCAAUAUUGAUACCAAAAACUGACGCUGUUGAUUGUUUUUUCCCUGCCUGCAGAGGAUCUCUAAUAUCUAACACUGGUCAAGGUAGAAGAACAACGGUAACGAUUGCCAUUACCACAAACCAACAAAGGAACAGCUCACAGUCCAAAACGGCGAAUAACACGAAGACUUAUGUGUACAUCGGGGUGGGUGCGGGGGCGCUGCUUGUGGGCACAGGUGGUGCCAUUUCUCUGAUAAAGUGGAUUCACAAGAAAAAAAGUCAACAGCGAGUUAUUGACGUAGAUUCUUCAUAACUUAAAUUCUCUUAUUGAAAUAAAUGUAAACUAAUUGUAAACGUUGUACACUUGUAUUUAAUUUUAUUCAUCAUUCGAGUCAAUGAUACGUAAAUAAAGUUGGUGGU